GAGCGGCCGUAGCAAUACGGCAGCGGCAGACGGGAGAGUAACACGUGGGAACGUACCCUUCGGUUCGGAACAACCCAGGGAAACUUGGGCUAAUACCGGAUACGUCCGUAAGGAGAAAGAUUCAUCGCCGAGGGAUCGGCCCGCGUCUGAUUAGCUUGUUGGUGAGGUAACGGCUCACCAAGGCGACGAUCAGUAGCUGGUCUGAGAGGAUGAUCAGCCUCACUGGGACUGAGACACGGCCCAGACUCCUACGGGAGGCAGCAGUGGGGAAUCUUGGACAAUGGGGGAAACCCUGAUCCAGCCAUGCCGCGUGAGUGAUGAAGGCCCUAGGGUUGUAAAACUCUUUCGGCGGGGACGAUAAUGACGGUACCCGCAGAAGAAGCUCCGGCUAACUUCGUG
rnacentral:rRNA from 1 species